AUAAAAAGUCGAAUGCCACUAAUAACAGAAAAGCUAGCAUCUCUCUUUAUAGUCUGACUGUUAAAAAAUGAUUAAAGAAAACUAUUUAGGUGAUACAGACUUUAUUUACUGGUUUAUGAAGUGGACAGUCUCCUUUCAGAGAACUGCAAAAUGGAGUGGAAGACAGGAAGCUUUUAUAGAAUAGAGAAUAAAAAACAAGGAAGAGAAAAAUAGAAAAUAUCUGAUUGGCUGGAGCCACAUAGUCAACCUUGUUUGGGAAUUGUUUAUCCAGUGAGUUUGUGCCAGAGAAACUGAGAUAUUGGAAAUCAGGUAGAGGUUUGUGAUGGGCAGAAAGAACUACAGCAUCAUAGGAGAUCCAACAGUCAGUUGGAGGUUAGAUCAACCUCCUUCACAAUGGCCUGAAAUAUGUGAAAAACAGCAUUACCUUUCCAGGCCAGGGCAAGGCAAAAGAUGAACAAAAGAAACAUAAGGACCUUCAUGGUGCAGGGAGAAAGACAAGCCAAGUUCUCAGGACACAAAACAAGACAAACAAGAAGGAAUAGGUGUCCUUGGGAGAGAAAGGAUCGAUAACCAAUGAGCACCUCAAAACCAAAUUCACAAGAGCCUGCAUUGGAAAGGAAGAGACAACAUGAAAUUUUACCUUCCUUUCUUGACCAGGAAGACACAGGGAGAUUUGACAGCAAAGAGAAGAGAAGGAAACAUGAAGACGGAGCAGAGAGAUUUGAAGAUGCUGCCUUUGAAGACUGAAGUGAAGCCAAAGAAUGCUGGCAACCACCUGACGCUGAAAAAGGCAUGGAAUGAAUUCUCCCCAUAGGCCUCUCAAAAGAUGGAGGUUGUGCUGAUGCCUUGAUUUCACUCCUGUGAUACUGAUUUUGGACUCUGGUCUUGAAAG
rnacentral:lncRNA from 1 species